AAUGCUUUUUGAGAUAAUAAAAUUAGACCAGGUAUAAAUACAGAUCUCUAGUGGCAAAAUAUCAUCGAAUGUCUAGCUGAAUUGAAAGGUACAUAUUUCAGCGAAACGUACUUUCGGUAUUUUAAGGUAAACAGGUGUGUUGGAGUAUGAUCUUGGUCAAGUUUUUAAAAGAUGAGGAUGUUUGAAUAUAUAGUGGCUCUAGUGCUAUGUUCAUUGUUUAAUAUUGCUUCUGCACAGUCUUUAACUGACAGUCAACUUGGCGGUAUCCUUGGAGGAACAAUUGCUGUAGUAAUUGUCAUAACCGUUGUGAUUGUUCUCGUGGUCAAGCGAACAAAGUCAUCUGAGAGAAACUACGGAGGUGUGUCUAGAGCCAAGUUUGGGAUGGAAAGGAAUCAAAGCCAUUAGGUCUGGUUCAAAUCUACAUAGUUCACUGUGUGAGACAAUGAAUAAAUGUGUUUGUUUUCGAGUUUCGUCAUCGCUACACCAAACAUUUGAUUAACAUUAUGGAAGUGCUUUGAUUCUGAAAGCAACCAAAGUCUCCAGCCUAGUCGGUCAGCUACCAAGGAAUCUUUGGAAAGACAUGUUGAAAUGUGACAUCAAGUCAUCAUAUUGUUACAAAUGCAUUCCUAAUGUCGUAAACAUGCAUCUUUUUUUAAUUAAC
rnacentral:sRNA from 1 species